rnacentral:lncRNA from 1 species
AGUCUCCAGGUCUGUCCCCCUGAAGAUGGUUCCUCUCACCACCUGGGCUGCCACCACGCUGGCCAUGUAAGUAAGGAUGGUUUACAGGCUCCUCCAUCUGAUUUGGGGACACUGGAAAUCUCUUGUCUUUUCUCUGAUUUUUAUUAAGUAUAUAUAAAACCUAUGGCUCCUAUUUCAAGAGAGAAGGCCCAGGAAAAACUAUCUUUGGAACUGCCAAGCCAGAGCUACUGCCUCCCUGCAAAGCCACCUUUGGAACUACAAGGACACUCUAUACACAUGGAAGAUGCUCUUAAGGCUUUUAAGUAUAUCAGUGGAUGGUUUGAUACUUUCAUUCUAAAGGGAAUAUAAAGGCCAACUUCAACUGCAAGAGAUUGUUUUGCUGUACAUAAGCCUGGAAUGGGCAUUAAUCACUAAGUGGAUUUUUAAAUCCCUGGAGUAAAACAACAAAAACUCUAUGGCUACCAAGGUUUCUUGCUGCACACGGAUUUCUGGGUCACAUGACAUCUUUGUAUUGGCAUUGUCUGCACCAGGAUUGAAUAACCAGGAUUGGAGACAGUUACUAAGAAGGCCCUGGGAUGAUAGAAAAUUACAUGGAAAUCAUCUAUUUCACAUCUCACCUCCUACACAGAGCUGGCGGUGACUUCUAACUAGGAGGUUUUACAUAGCUGGGUGUUUUCUACUGAGCAGCAGGGAAACGAAAACCCAGAUGUUUCCAAGAAGGAAAAUGUGGUGGUUGCCAAUCUGUUCUGUGAUCAAGUUCUCUGCCUUUCCCUUCCUCCUUGGGUCAGAGGACCUUGAUACAGACAGAUCUUGGUACUGAUGCCCUAAGACAAGAAAGCCUCUGAGGUGGGGGCACUCAGAAGAGAAAAGCUGGGUCUCUUAGGCUGACCCCUUCAAGUAGGUGUCUAAGUACUUGCAGUGUUUAACAAGUACUCCUAUGUCUGGACAGGAGCCCAUAAAGUGUAACUGGAAGAAAAGAACACCAGCCCUGACAUUCACCUUUUGUGGGUGACCCCAGGCCAGCUGCUCAACCCCUCUGUGGUCUCUUCCUCCACCUAUGGAAUAGGGACAAUAACUGUCUUAUUUUUCUCACUGGAAUGUCGUUGAGGAACAAAGAGACAGACCUAUGUAGGUGGGCAUACUUUAUGCAAAUGGAAUCACUUACAGCAUCCCAGUGAGGCUUCACCCUGAAAACCCUGCCUACUUUGUUCAGAUGAGAACAGUCCCCCAGGGGAGAUGUCGUGGCUGGGAAUGAAGACAACAGAGCUCAGUGUGGACUCACAGCUUCUCAGACCUCUGCAGGUGCACAAGUCCCCUCUCCAACAGAAUGUCACUUGUCCCAGCUGGAACAUUUCUCCCUGGGGGCCGCUCUAUCAAGAGUGCUCAUUGCCCAUCAGCACACUGGGAAGAAUGAUGAUGGAGGGGUGUUAAGGGGGGGAAAGGAGAUCCUGUUGUUCGGGGCAGGAGAGAACACAGGCUUUCAUGCUGUUGAGCAUUGGGAGAAGUGAGCUAAUACAUUUUCAGAUCAUCAGAAAGGAUUACUAAUCAUAAAGAAACCCUAGAGUUUGCCAAGGGUCCUUAACAUUUUCAUGUUGCCCAUCAUCAGAAUGGAGGGUCUGAGAGGGCAGCCACGGCUGGGAUGUGGAGAGAAGGGGACACCGGUCUCCAGCAGUCAGGAGGGCAGAGGCCUUCACACCAGAGGAUGACGUCUAGAGGACUAGGGACUUGGAGCCAAUUUCUAUGGUGUCUUCAUGUUUUUCCAUCCAUUCUCCAAG